rnacentral:lncRNA from 7 species
UAAAAAUCCAGGGCCCAGAUCAUAAGGCUAAAGGGGUACGCACAAGACCAAAUCCGGUGCGUUCAUGAGAGACUCAAUGAUCAAAAUUUAAAAAGGCUGCGAUCUAUUUUCAUACGUCCACUCAUCGAUCUACGGCAAGGAUGAAUCGUUGCCGAAGCGUCAUCUCUACUCUAAUCCUAUCCCUCCAUUUCAGAUCCGACGACCAGUAGAUUUCCUCCCUAUUCUAAUCCCAACCGUCUGCUUCAGAAUCAACGGCCAGGAACCUGUCG